rnacentral:rRNA from 1 species
UACGUAGGCAGCAAGCGUUGUUCGGAAUUACUGGGCGUAAAGAGUGUGUAGGCGGUGCUCUAAGUUCGGUGUGAAAUCUCCCGCUUAACUGGGAGGGUGCGCCGGAAACUGGAGUGCUUGAGCGCGGGAGAGGAAAGCGGAAUUCCUAGUGUAGAGGUGAAAUUCGUAGAUAUUAGGAAGAACACCAGUGGCGAAGGCGGCCAUCUGGCUCGGUACUGACGCUCAGGUUCGGAAAGCGUGGGGAGCAAACAGG